UAAACCCUCCUGGCAGCCGAUGAAUCUGGGACUGACAGCAUCAUUAUUUAUUCUGUAAAUUGGCUUUUUGAUUAUGGCCUGGGAACAAUGGCCAAUCAGCAAUGGCAAAUCAGAGCAUGAUUGCAUUGAAAUCAAACAUGAUGUUUUUCUUUUUUUUUUUUCAUUCAGUGUGGAUGUGGCACGUUAGGUGGAGGAGUGAGCACAGACUGAAUCCUGUAGCAAAGUAGCAGAUUUCUUUUUCAGCAAACUAAUGAAAAGGAUGAUGGCGGCCUGCUGCAGCAGACGGCCGCUCGUCCCGUCAUGAGCAGGGCGCUGCUGGAAGGCGCCCGCUCCCUUCUGCAGGCUCAGGAUGGAAGCUGAGGAGUGAAGGGAAGACUUCAUAACUCAGCCGGCUUCCUUAAUGAGACCAUCGUUUACCGUCUGGCAUUUUGGAAUCGGUCUGGGUCAAGCAGAUUGCAGUCUGUCGUGAUCCGACUGUAUGCAACCGAAAUUCAGGGCCUGACGCUGUGGGUGGGUUUGAGUUUAUUAUGAGAAACCUGAAUGAUUUAAAGACGAUUUGAUCGUAGGUUGAUGGUCAAACUGGAAUGUGUGUAAUUGAACUUGAAUCCUGUCUGGGUGAUUUGAUUGGAUUGACUUUCUGUUUCAUAAGUGCCUUGAGACUUUGAUAUAGUCUCCUAGCACAAAUCAUAUUUGUUGUGAUGUUUGCCGGUACUACAUCAACAUUCAUUACAGUGAAUUCUCACAAUGCAAAUUGAAUCUUUCAUCUAAAUCGAAUGAUAAAAUAAGAAUGUUUAUGAUAAAAAGUAUUAUGAAUUAAAGAGACUUGUGCGUCUUGGUUUGUUUCAAUUAAAUGUCCAUGUUAGAGUUCCGAGUGGAAAACUCCCCCCAAAAAACAUUUAGUUGUAAGUGUAAGUCUAACUUUAUGAUGAAAUAAUAUCAUGUUGCUUCAUUUUGAGUAAUUUGCUACAAUACAGAACAAAGCUAUAGUUUUUCAAAGUAGGUUAUGAUUACAUUAUUUAAGACCAGGCUGGUACUGUAGCAUAAAGCCAUUAACAAUAAAGAGUGACAGAAUGU